AAUUCCAAUUGGAGCUUGUCGCUAGUCGUAAAAUAGUUAUGACUUGUUAUUGUUUUAUAGUAUCUUGUUAUUGAUAAUUAUGUAUUGCUGGAUUUCUUUGGUAAUUGUUGUUGGUAUAUGGUAUUGGAGGAGGCUCUUGUUUUAGGGGGAUGCUGCCCGAAUUUAUAUAAACGAGCUACAAGUUUAAGUUGCAGACUUAGCCUUUAUUCAACACUGAUUUUGAAUCUCCUAAUGCAAUGGUAGAUUGAGUUGAGUUAUUUGAAGAGUAGCUUGGGAGGUAUUAAGGACUCACCAUGGUUAAGGUAUGUUAAGGCACUUCCCUCUUUCUUUUGGCAUGAUCUAAAAUGAAAUGAAUACGCUAUUUCAUAACGGAUCUACUCCUAGAAACUAAGGUUGCCCAUGUUGUUCUUUGCUUAUAAAGUUAUUCUAAGCAAGUAUGUAUGAUCCUUGAAUCCUACAAAAGCUCAUAUUGAUGGUAUGAUGUCCAUAAUGUUAAUCGAAGGUGCAACGACCUUAAGUCACUAUGAUGAUGCCCACAAAGGUGUAUGUUUUUAAAAGUUUAUGUAUAUAUAUCUAUUAUGCAUUUCAUGUUAGUAUCCCCCAGAGGCACUCAGAUGUUACAAGUUGUAUCUCCUCUAUCUCUCUUUAUAUUACUGUUCUUGUUUAUGCUUUCCUGCCUUACAUACUCGGUACUUUAUUAUUACUGACAUCCCUUUUGCCUGAGGAUGCUGCAUUUCAUGCCCGCAGGUCCCAAUUGAUAGGUUGGCAUUCCUCCUAGUAGGCUAUCAUCUCAGUGGAGGUGUUGGUGCACUCUAUUUGCUCCGUAGUUGCCUAUUUGGUCAAUAUGCUUUUGAUAUGUAUUGAUUGAUAUGGCGGGGCCCUAUCCCAACCUUUAUGAUUUUAUGUACUCUUAGAGGCUUGUAGACAAAUGUCAGGUUUAUGGAUACUUAAAUGGCCUUGUUAGCCUAUGUGUUGAGUUUACACAUGGUCAUGUCGGCCUUAUAGACCCUUAUGUCAUAUGUAUAAGUUUAUAUAUCAUGUUGGAUCGUCAUAUAUUGAGUAUUCCCUUAUGUUUUAUUCUUGUUAUCUCAUGACGGGUUUCUGGCUCAUUUACUCAAGAUAGUAUAAUAAGAAAGAUAUAUUAUGUUGGUACUCGAUUGAGUAAGGCAUCGGGUACCCAUCACGGCUCUUCAGUUUGGGUCAUGACAGAAGUGGUAUCAGAGCAGUUCUAUCCUAGGGAGUCUACAAGUCGUGUUUAGUAGAGUCUUGUUUAUUGGUGUGUUGUGCACCACACUUA
rnacentral:lncRNA from 1 species